rnacentral:lncRNA from 1 species
GUUGAAAUUAUAUAUUCAGCACUACUUUGUUUUCGUGGAAUAACUGCAAUAUAUUGAUUUCAUGGAAUAACUGUCAGUAUAUUGACAACAGAAAUGUGUCUCUGCUUCAUUUCUCUCAUUCCUUUCAUUUUAUUUUUUUCUGUAAAAAACUGUGAGAGCAGUUUAAACUAUAUAAAUUAGUAAAUACUUAAUUGAAGUCAAAAUAAAAUAUAUUUUCUAGGGAGUUCCCGUUGUGGCUCAUCCCCUGGUGGCUCAGCAGGUGAAUGAUCUGGCAUUGUCCCUCUUGUGGCUUAUUGUCACUGCUCUGGCAUGGGUUCAUUUCCUGGCUGGGGAAUUUCUCCAUGCCAUAGGUGCAGCCAAAAAAAGAAAAAAAAAAAGUAUGAAAUUAACAUGCUUGUUUUAUUAAAUUAAUUACUUUAUUAUAAAUAGAUAAAUGACAACUGUUGCAUGGGAAGCUUGAUUAGCAUAAAAAGAUGAAAGUUUCAUUUAGUCCUACAUUUUUUGGUAGCUAUUAUAUCUAGAUUUCUAUAUAUAGUUAGAAUGGUCUUAUCAAAGUCAUUCAAAAAUAAGACUUGACCUUCUGAUUUCCAGUAACUGAUCCCACUUCCUUCAAAUAACCACGAAAAUCUUCCUUUAGUAUAGAGAGUAGGAAAAAUACUCUGUUAAUUUUACAAUGGAUAAUAGAAGAUAUGUAAAAUGACAAUAAAUUUCAUAGUUCUCCCAUAUUCCUUAGAGAAAAAAAAAGGUAGCUAUACCAGGAAUUUACUAUUUUCACGAUGCAUCACCACUUAGCUGGUAUUUGUUAUUUAGCCCUUGUAGUAGGUCGUAUAUCCAUAGAAUAGACAAGAGUUGCUUUUCUAGGCAAGUGCUUACCUGCCCUGAAAACAGUUGCUUGUUUACUUGUUUGCAUAACACUUUAUAUUGCCUAAGAGAUUUAUUUGUUUAAAAGGAAAACAUGGAAAUACUGUAGUGUGUUAAUAUCUCAAAAUUAUAGUAACUAUGACUAAAUUCCAUGUGUUAUUAGACUCAUUACUUCUUUACCUGAUAUUCCAUGUUUAUAUAUGUACUUGUUAUGCCUACUUUACAAAAAGGGACAUGAAAAUAAGAUAUAUUUAGAGAGAUAGACAUAAUUAGAAUUUCAACUCAAUUUGGUUAAAGAAAUAAAGAAACUUUAUUCAAAAAGUCACCUGAAAGAAUUUCAAGCCAAAUAAUUAAAGGGGCAUGAGAUUCAGUUAGUUCAAGCUGUUUAUUUAUUUAAGCAAUCAGUUAACCAAUAUGCAUUGAGUAGUCACUAUGUUCUAAUUGCUAGUUACACACAAAGUAUCGACCUCAUGGAAUUUGCAUUCUGGUGGAUAAGACUAUACACCUGUGAACAAAUACAAUACAUAAUUUCAGAUCAUGGCCACUACUAUAAAGAAAAUCAAGUAGGGUCAUAAGAUAAACAUGGGCUGGGUGUAGUGCUUUAUUGAAGGAUAAUGUAAAAAUAAGCAUAGGCCAAGAGUCAGAGAGGUAAACAUAUAUAUGAAUCAAGGCUCAGCCAUUUCCUGGGUGUUUAUGUCACUUAGACUCAGUGAACCUCUGUUUCCUUAUCUGUGAAAGAAGAGCCACACUGAUCUUGCAAACUUGUCCUGAGAUCGCAAAUAUAAUGUAUAUAAUAUCUAGCGCAUGGGAGUUUUUCAAUGAUUGUCAGUUAAGAACCGUACAAUAGGAGUUCCUGCUGUGGUACAGUAGAAAUGAAUUCAACUAGUAACCAUGAGGAUGAAGGUUUGAUCCUGGACCUCGCUUAGUGGGUUAAGGAUUCAGUGUUGUUGUGAGCUGUGUCGUAGGUCAGAGAUGAGGCUUGAAUCCAGUCUUGCUGUGGCUGUGGUGUAGACUGGCAGCUGUUUAGAUCUGAUUCAACCCCUAGCCUGAGAACUUCCAUAUGCCCAGGAUGUGGUCCUAAAAAGAAAAAAAUAAAUAAAUAAAGAUAACCAUACAAUAAAAGCCACAGAGAUUCCUCAUGUAGCUCUCUCUUUUCUAUAAUUCUUCUUAGAAUUGCUUUUUCAAAGACCUCACAGGCUAAACACACAAUCAUUCUGACUUUAAAUUUUUAAUUCUGUCUGUAAAUAAAGUAAUUAUUCUGUGGUCAGGAGUGUUUGCUUCUCUAAAAGGGGAAAGGGAGGGUGGGCACAUGGUUGCUGGGUAUUUUGGGACAUUAUUUAUCUCAGUGAACCUGGUUCAAAUGUAUCACUACCAGCUUGCAUUUCAGGGGCCACCUGGCUCAUCAUCUGACAACAACAUGCUGUGUGACUUUAAAAGAAUCAUUUCCAUAGUUUAAUUUUCUGUAAAUGAACACUUUGGCAUAGCAGUUUUCCAUCUGAGAAGCAUACACCUAGAUUAUAAGGACUCUUAAAAUGCACACUUGCUUAGAUGUUUCUUUUCAGUCCAUUUACUAUUAAAUUCUUUUGUGUGUGUAAAGCCUCCUCAGCUAAAUUGUCAAGCUCUUGAGAUCAAGGGCUCUUCUUUUCGCUAUUAUGGAAUGUGGUGCAUGAGGUAAGAGUUGUG